CCUACGGGGGGCAGCAGUGAGGAAUAUUGGUCAAUGGACGAGAGUCUGAACCAGCCAAGUAGCGUGAAGGAUGACUGCCCUAUGGGUUGUAAACUUCUUUUAUAUGGGAAUAAAAUGUUCCACGUGUGGGAUUUUGUAUGUACCAUAUGAAUAAGGAUCGGCUAACUCCGUGCCAGCAGCCGCGGUAAUACGGAGGAUCCGAGCGUUAUCCGGUUUUAUUGGGUUUAAAGGGAGCGUAGGUGGAUUGUUAAGUCAGUUGUGAAAGUUUGCGGCUCAACCGUAAAAUUGCAGUUGAAACUGGCAGUCUUGAGUACAGUAGAGGUAGGCGGAAUUCGUGGUGUAGCGGUGAAAUGCUUAGAUAGCACGAAGAACUCCGAUUGCGAAGGCAGUUCACUGGACUGCAACUGACACUGAGGCUCGAAAGUGUGGGUAUCAAACAGGAUUAGAUACCCGAGUAGUC
rnacentral:rRNA from 1 species